UAGCGAAGGGGGCUAGCGUUGCUCGGAAUCACUGGGCGUAAAGGGUGCGUAGGCGGGUCUUUAAGUCAGGGGUGAAAUCCUGGAGCUCAACUCCAGAACUGCCUUUGAUACUGAAGAUCUUGAGUUCGGGAGAGGUGAGUGGAACUGCGAGUGUAGAGGUGAAAUUCGUAGAUAUUCGCAAGAACACCAGUGGCGAAGGCGGCUCACUGGCCCGAUACUGACGCUGAGGCACGAAAGCGUGGGGAGCAAACAGG
rnacentral:rRNA from 1 species